AGGUUGUGGCUCAGUGGUAGAGCGCUCACUUAGCACGCGUGAGUCACUGGGUUUGAUUCUCAGCACCACCUA
rnacentral:tRNA from 1 species